UAGAGUUUGAUCCUGGCUCAGAACGAACGCUGGCGGCAGGCUUAACACAUGCAAGUCGAACGCCCCGCAAGGGGAGUGGCAGACGGGUGAGUAACGCGUGGGAAUCUACCCAGUUCUACGGAACAACACAGGGAAACUUGUGCUAAUACCGUAUACGCCCUACGGGGGAAAGAUUUAUCGGAAUUGGAUGAGCCCGCGUAAGAUUAGCUAGUUGGUGGGGUAAUGGCCUACCAAGGCGACGAUCUUUAGCUGGUCUGAGAGGAUGAUCAGCCACACUGGGACUGAGACACGGCCCAGACUCCUACGGGAGGCAGCAGUGGGGAAUAUUGGACAAUGGGCGCAAGCCUGAUCCAGCCAUGCCGCGUAAGUGAUGAAGGCCUUAGGGUUGUAAAGCUCUUUCAGUAGGGAAGAUAAUGACGGUACCUACAGAAGAAGCCCCGGCUAACUUCGUGCCAGCAGCCGCGGUAAUACGAAGGGGGCUAGCGUUGUUCGGAAUCACUGGGCGUAAAGGGCGCGUAGGCGGCUUUAUAAGUCGGGGGCGAAAGCCUGUGGCUCAACCACAGAAUUGCCUUCGAUACUGUAGAGCUUGAGACCGGAAGAGGUAAGUGGAACUGCGAGUGUAGAGGUGAAAUUCGUAGAUAUUCGCAAGAACACCAGUGGCGAAGGCGGCUUACUGGUCCGGUUCUGACGCUGAGGCGCGAAAGCGUGGGGAGCAAACAGGAUUAGAUACCCUGGUAGUCCACGCCGUAACGAUGAAUGCCAGCCGUUGGGCAGCUUGCUGCUCAGUGGCGCAGCUAACGCUUUAAGCAUUCCGCCUGGGGAGUACGGU
rnacentral:rRNA from 1 species